AUGAAAAUUGGUCACUAGUUCAAUUCCUCAUGUCAUCUUCUUACAGUGGACAUGGCACCUCCAGCUUGCAACAAGUAAAAAAGUUCACAAAUGAUCCAGAAACAAUUAUGUAUGAUCUAAGGGAAGGAAGUUUAAGAGGGCUAGAGGAAGGAGGAACAGCAAAGGAAAUAGAAUUUAAGUUGUAUUGUUUCUGUAUUUUUUUUUCAAUUUUUAGUUUUGGAAUUCGAACUCGAGAUUUAUUGUGUAUUUGAGUAUUAGUUUUUUAAUGUAUAAAACAAUUAUCGCAAAAA